rnacentral:lncRNA from 1 species
CAAAAAAGGACACAAGAAAAUAGCCAAUCUAUUUACUGUCAACUUUGCCCGAUGGAAUUGAAACCUUGUAAAUAAUCAACAGUUUCCAAUCUCUAUCAAUUGCAAAUGCAUACAAAAAAGUAAUAAAAGAUUAAUGUGUAAAAGAGGGACGAAAGAUACCAAAGGGACAGUCAAACUCAGAAAUCUAAAACAAACCAACAACGCCAUGGCUAAAAAUGAAAAGGACAAACAGACA